CGAAAUAUGACACGUGUAGGCGCUUGCAUGCAAAUUUUUUGAGCGCGUCGUUUGAAAACUCAUCUGAAUCGUAUAUUCAUCGAGAUGUUUAUGCUGCUGUGUUAAAGACGUUUUGAGCGUAUUUACUCAACUAUUUCUGUACUUCUAAAUAUCCUGAACAACAACGGACUCCCAUAACGAAAUUUCAAGGCAAUUGGUUGUGGUAUUAUCUCAGAAACAUCUUGAGAAGCCAAAUGACGUAUUCUACUUUACUGCGAUCACUUCAGAAAGCUGUGGUCAAAGAAAAUAUCAUUGCAAUAAUAGGUAAAGUGGAAGUGAAAUGUGCAAGAACAAAUUGGUCCAUGGUAUGGCUGGCAAAUUUCAAUCAGGAAUGCCAAAAAUUGGGCCAAGAAGUAUGUAUUGGUUCUUUCGAACAGGAUAGAAACAAGAAACAAGAUUAGCUGCACAGAGAAUCAGGGUUGAUGACUCCAUAUACAGAUGAGGACAUACAAAUAAUAAAAAAUGGCCAUGGAAAAC